ACAAAAAGCAGAAUCGAAGCCUAUCAACCUCUGAACAGUUUCAGCUCCUAUUGACCUCAUCUUUUAUUUAUGGAAAAGGAACGUUGCUAUUGGCAUUCAAACUGUCUGCAAACAAUCCUGAUGUGUUAGUGUUUGUUGAUUGUACGGAUGCAAAGUCGUUUCUUAGUCCAAAGAUUCAUUGCUCUUUUGAUAUCAAUGGCUUUAGUCGUUUUAUUUUCGACCACCUUUCACGCCAAUCAAGCUUACUGCAUCAUUAUACUUGGAAACACCUACCAUAUCUCAAGUAUGUAGUGGCUGCAAAGACCACGUUAUUUAAGCACUAUCGCGAUAGCAAAGACAAUAACUAUGAAAACACUUAUUUUAUUUUCAACGAAGAAGGAGAUGUCGUACAUAAGUGGUCUGUUCCUAAAGGG